AAGUGCAGCUGAGUUAAUAAAGGCCACAUUAACAUGUUGGUAUGAAACUUCUAUGCUUUAGUCUUUUUUACGUUUGGUGUUUAUAUCAAAUGUCUGGUCACAGUUCCAAUCAUACGUUUAAAAACCUAAAUGAGGGAUUGCUGUUUAAUGUUCUACUAAUUUAAUGAUAUUAUUCUUUUCUAACAGUCUCAAUCUACUUUGAUUGAUCAAGACUUUAUCCUGGAAUUUGGAGAAGAUAUAUCCUCAGUGUUUAUGAGCGAUAAGUGUCAGCCUAUCUCCUCUCUUUAACAUGAAUGCAUGUUUUUCUCCAGGAAACAGGAAGUAAUCCUGCAGAGCCAGACUCUUCCUGCCUCCAGUGAAGAACUGAUCUACUGUGGAGCGUCGGAUGAGAAGGAAUUGGAAAACCUUGCAUCUGGCUGGGAUAGCGAUCCUGCUUCCAUCAUUCUGCUGCUCCACCUGAGGCCGUAAAACACCUGGAAGCUUCCUGCAUCCCAAGCUGCUUCCUGCUCUUCCACAAGAGUGGAACAAGUUUUCAGCAGCAUGUUGAUGACAUCACUUCUUCAACGCAUCCAUCUCCAUUCAAACAAGCAUCUAGAAGCUACGCUGGCAAAGUUCAGCAGACUCCACGUCUCAAAGCUGAACUAGAAGCAGUGAAUGAAUCAGGAAACAAG